UGUGAAUCGCUUGUAGAAGAAGUGCGUCGUAGACUAGAUAAUUUUGUGCUGAGACGUAUUUACGUCAUAUUCUCCAGAACCGUGGUUCCACUGUCACUUUUUCAGUAAUUUCUGACACAAACAUUAAAACAGGCACACAUAACAUAACACUAAAGGCAGCUGACAUUGCAUUAUUGAAUAAACUAAAUCUCAGUCAAAUACCUACAUGAACUUUAAAAGCUGAGGAAUAUACUACAAAUUACCAAAACUAAAAGGUAAAUUCUUAUUCCCACUACUGUCAUUUGCUGUGGACAACAUGGAAAAAAUUCACACAAAUUCUGACAUACAUAGUAGCAACACAAAGCAUGAAUAUGACUUCCAUAAGCUGCUGAAUGCUAACCUAACUAGUCAACAGAAAGGUGCUUACUAUGCAGGGAACAAAUUAUUCAGUACACUUCCAUCUGAUAUUAAAUGUUUUAAAUCUCAAUACAACAGUAUUUAAGAAAGCACUGAAAGAUGGUCUUUUCUCUCAUUCCUUCUACUCUGCAGAAAUACUGUAGAUGUUUAUGUAAACAGCUGUUAAACAGCUAUGUAUUUAAUUUGGAUUGGUAUUUUAUUUUGUAUUAUCUGCUGGUAUUUAUAUUAUGUGUUCCACAACCUUGGCUUGUACUAUGAAGGCUCUAUGGAAUGCAAAUAAAUUCUAAUUCUAAUGCUA